CAACCAUAAGCUUAUGGUUACUGAUCAUGGUUCUAAGUGCUCCAUAAAUAUGUAAUACAUGUAUAAGGGAAAAAACUAAGGACUUUUUUGUUCAUAAAACAGCAAGAAAGAUUUGCAAAGAUCUUUAUUGAUUUUACAAUAAAUAAUAUUCAUGAUUCUGCUGCAUAUUGUUUCAUGUAAAAUGCAUUGUAAAUGUACAAAAGUUAACAUUGUUUUUCCAUCUGAUGUACAUACAUAGAUAAAUGCAGAAAAUUGAGUCUUUAGAUGCAAAUAAAGAAAAAAACACAUG
rnacentral:misc_RNA from 1 species